rnacentral:rRNA from 1 species
UACGUAGGGGGCAAGCGUUGUCCGGAAUUAUUGGGCGUAAAGCGCGCGCAGGCGGUGGGUUAAGUUUGGUGUUUAAGCCCGGGGCUCAACCCCGGUUCGCACCGAAUACUGGCACACUUGAGUGCAGGAGAGGAAAGCGGAAUUCCACGUGUAGCGGUGAAAUGCGUAGAGAUGUGGAGGAACACCAGUGGCGAAGGCGGCUUUCUGGCCUGUAACUGACGCUGAGGCGCGAAAGCGUGGGGAGCAAACAGG